AUGCAAAACCACUCUGGGCCAUGGGGAGCGUGCAGGGUCCCCCAAGCAAAACCUUUCCAGGCCGUGGGGAGCGUGCGGGGUCCCCCAUGCAAAACCACUCUGGGCCAUGGGGAGCGCGCAGGGUCCCCCAUGCAAAAACUCUCUGGGUCGUGGACAGCGUGCGGGGUCCCCCAUGCAAAACCUCUUUGGGUCGUGGGGAGUGCGUGGGGUCCCCCAUGCAAAACUGCUCCAGGCCAUGGGGAGCGCGCAGGGUCCCCCAAGCAAAACCGCUCCGGGUCGUGGGGAGCACGCAGGGUCCCCCAUGCAAAAACUCUCGGUCGUGGAGAGCGUGCGGGGUCCCCCAUGCAAAACCCCUCUGGGUCAUGGAGAGCGUGCGGGGUCCCCCCAGCUCUGCCAUGGGACCGCAGAGCACACGCAGAGCACCUCGUCCCCAGCGGGGACACGUCCCCUCCGCCUCUCACCUCCGAUCCCUUCAAAGCUCGUGGGAGAUGCUCCCGCACGCUCCUCCUGCCCCCGCGACAGCACCAGGUGGAGCUGGAGGAGAACACCACAAGCCACCUCCCUGCUCCAGCAUCCCCGCCACCCUUGGUGGCAGCCUGUGACUGGUSCCAGGGACCCGGUCUUUUAAGGUGCAAUGCGUCCCAACCACCCACCUACCGACGUUUCACACUCUUCACCUCGCAGACAGAACAGACUCCCCCGGCGCGGACCAAAGYGGCGUCCGAGCCGCAGGGAGGGUGCUUGCGGAGAGCGGAGAUGUGUCUGGCGCUGAUUCGGCUCACGAAGGGGAGAGCCCUUGAGCAGAGGAGCRGGGCCGCUGCCAGGGGACCAGGAGCAAAGAGUCCCCGGAGAGACCAGGGCUGGCGGCAGGGCAGACUGGCUCCGGGAGGCUGCAAGCAGGGCAAGACCCGGGCAAAGGCAGCGGGCCCGGAGGAGGCCRUCUCACGACCACCACUCAAGCCAGUGCCAAGCCACCCCUCAACACACCGCUCAGUCGCAUUGCAAUGCCUCCUGCUCCAACGGCAGAGACUUGAAAUGACUCUUUUCCUUUGGAGUCCAGCUGCCAGCCCCUUCUCCUCUCCGUUUCCAAGUCCUUCCACGUGCAAGAUGCCUUCUGUCGGAAUAUCAGCUUUCCUCCUCCAACGCCUACACUCCACAACCAUGAGAGGAACCACUCAACAUCUUUCCCCCAACCUUAGGCAGCACUUGCUAAUUACAAGCUUUCCAGAAUAA
rnacentral:lncRNA from 1 species